CCUACGGGAGGCAGCAGUGGGGAAUAUUGGGCAAUGGAGGAAACUCUGACCCAGCAACGCCGCGUGAAUGAUGAAGGUCUUCUGAUUGUAAAGUUCUUUUCUAAGGGAAGAAGAAAGUGACGGUUCCUUAGUAAUAGGCCUCGGCUAACUACGUGCCAGCAGCCGCGGGAAUACGUAGGAGGCAAGCGUUAUCCGGAAUGACUGGGCGUAAAGGGUGCGUAGGUGGUUUGACAAGUUGGUAGUGAAACUCCGGGGCACAACCUCGGCACUACUCACAAAACUGUCGGAGUUGAGUGCAGGAGCGGUAGAUGGAAUUCAUAGUGUAGCGGUGGAAGGCGUAGAUAUUAGGAGGAACAGCAGUGGCGAAGGCGGUUUGCUGGACUGUAACUGACACUGAGGCACGAAAGCGUGGGGAGCAAACAGGAUUAGAUACCCUAGUAGUC
rnacentral:rRNA from 1 species